GAUGAACGCUGGCGGCGUGCCUAAUACAUGCAAGUCGAGCGAACGGACGAGAAGCUUGCUUUGCUGAUGUUAGCGGCGGACGGGUGAGUAACACGUGGAUAACCUACCUAUAAGACUGGGAUAACUUCGGGAAACCGGAUCUAAUACCGGAUAAUAUUUUGAACCGCAUGGUUCAAAAGUGAAAGACGUUCUUGCUGUCACUUAUAGAUGUAUCCGCGCUGCAUUAGCUAGUUGGUAAGGUAACGGCUUACCAAGGCAACGAUACAUAGCCGACCUGAGAGGGUGAUCGGCCACACUGGAACUGAGACACGGUCCAGACUCCUACGGGAGGCAGCAGUAGGGAAUCUUCCGCAAUGGGCGAAAGCCUGACGGAGCAACGCCGCGUGAGUGAUGAAGGUCUUCGGAUCGUAAAACUCUGUUAUUAGGGAAGAACAUAUGUGUAAGUAACUGUGCACAUCUUGACGGUACCUAAUCAGAAAGCCACGGCUAACUACGUG
rnacentral:rRNA from 1 species